GCUACACAUUUAAAUAUUAAAUGAGUUCUGGGUAGAAACACGAACACUUGUCGAACCCGGAAGUCGAUUGUAUACGCAAGCCGUGCUUUUCAGGAACUUAUUUUCUCACACUACCGUUUUGAUUGGCUGGGUUUGGAUAGCUAAAGGACAGCGCCACCAUAUGAGCAUGCGUAUACGAUACGUAUCCGUAUACGUGUUAUCUGAGAAAACUAUCAGUCACUGCUUGUACCCAACACGGAGAAGGCUAUACUACAUAAAGUAAACGAAGCUAUUCAAGGUUUCCUGCAACUUGGUCCUCAAACACUUCGACCAAUAAGUGUAUAUCUUGUUGACGAUAUAACUGUCUUGCCUAAAGCGUUAGAACAGUAAUGGCAAUGCAAUUCUGCCGGUAUCGACCGCAACCAGUGCAAAUGACUGUUGCCCCAAAUCAAUUUCAACCACAGUUUGGCCAAACGAGUGUUGUCCGAAGUCAAUGGCAACAACAGUCUGUCAAUUAUGAAGGUUAUCAACAGCCGAGUUUGAACCCAUAUCAAAUUCAAGGAUCGUUUGACAAUGCAAAUCCAGGGCGGUAUGUUAAUCAUCUGAACAUCAUACCGACCGUUGCCACAUAUCAAUUUCAAACACUGUCUGAGAAUCGAAGUUUUUCGGUAAUUCAAUCGCUGAAUCAACCACCUGACGUCUUCCUACAGACGGCCCAAAAUCGCCAACCAUUUCCCAAUUAAAGUUCUGCCCCCAACUGCCAAUUCCUCCACCGCAAGUUUCUCAGCCUCUUCAGCUAUCUUCUCAGCGUCCACAGCCAGCUUCUUGGCCUCUGCAGCAAUGAUCCAAUGGAAUUUGUGUGUAGGGGGAUUGACUUCAAUACAGAACAAACGAUUUCAUUUUGCUAAACUUUAGUAAUGGUUAAUAACAUUCAUAUUGAGAAAUAAAAUUAAAACAAAACAUCUAUAAGUACAUUAUACAAACAACAAUCUUAAGAUCCAUUGAAAAAUAUUGUAGACUUUAAUUUAGUUUUCUUUUUAAAUAUUUGUUUUUAAACUUAAAACUUUCUUGUUAAAUUUCAUAAGGGUUUUUUUUAAAAAAAAAAACAAAAAAAAGUUUUACAAUCAUUCAUGACGACUUCUGUCUGAUGGUACAUUUGAAAUAAAUAUUUGUAAAACUGCAUUUCUGUUUCAUUUUUUAAUGCCAAUCUAUUAUAGAAAUUAUGUAAUGACCAAACGCAAGCGUAUCACACCGAUUGGGUAAGACCCAACGCUUGUCACCGAAGGCACACAGACCCGACUUGUUGACGGCAUAAACGUACAGUUUGUGUUUAUCGCUUCUAAUCGAAUUCAUUUUACACAUUUUAAUUUUAUCUUCGAAUAAACAGUACCUAUAUAUUUCGUGCCUUAUAUCGCCUCUAACGGUCGUCUUUGCAAUGCCUUUAGCUACCUGAUUUUUGUUCAUAUCGUUAUAAAGGACAGUAAGAUUAUCUAUUUCUAUCCGUUCGCGCACGGCAUAGACGGACGAGUACAUUUUAGCGCGGAGUCCUACAAACUGUGCAAUGGGUUCGCUUCCUGUUUCGUCCUUGAAAUACCGGGGUAUCUUUUUGUUCUUUGUAUCGUAACAACGAUGGUCGACCGGAUAACUGGACAGAUCGAAUAGGUGUCUGUCCCGAUACAUGUCGGCAUAGACUUCUGGGCCUUGAACGUGAUACAAAAGACUGUCCGUGUCCGUCAUGAGUAACUUUAUUCUAUCUCCAUAUCUCGGUUUUAGGUACUUGUAAAACUCGUACAUGAUACAUUUCGAUAGAUCUAGAAUGGUCAGUCCUACAUAAACGGGUGUGUUCAAUACUAGUUUCACUUUAUCGUUCUGAAUGGCUACCAAGCCUUCGUUAAAUAUGGUCUUGCCACGUACUUUUUGAUUUUUUUGUCCGUGUGUGCCAGCUUGAUAUCGACUCUAGAUCGCACGUUUUCCAUCGUCUUACCGAACACGGAAUUAUUCAUUUGUUUAAAGAAAUCUUUCUCGAACUCGUUCUUACAUGUGACUCCUUUGGUCGUGUUGAAUAGUAUGUACGGGCGUAACCAAGUUUUUGUUUGAAUUCUAGGAUUCUGUGGAUUUUGGUGACUUUUAGACCCAAUUCCACGUACAACUGUAGAUAAUAUAAUGACAGAUGGUUUCGUCUUGUGUUCUAAUGUUGGAAUCAGUUUUUCUGUCUGUACACGCCCUUGUAAUUUGUCAUCGGUGUGUUCGGGGUUAGGAUGUUAAGUUUUUCAUAGCUGUUUACUGGUUGGUGAUAAUGUAAUAGUCGUCUUUAUCCGGGAUAAAUGACAACUGGGUUUUUUUCUUUUAGUUUAGUUUAUUUCUUGUAAAAACUCUGUAACAUGAAAUACAUUAUAUUAUUAUACAUACUGUACAUUCAUACAAUCACAUAAGCUAAAACAUGUCAAACAACUACCUGGCCGUAGCCAGUUACAUAGGUUACAAUAGUGGAAUACGUAUUUUACAAACUGACAUUUAAUCUAUAUAUUAUAUAGAAAUUACAGUUUACACUUUAUCUAAUGAUACAGCAUGAUUCCAAAUAUAUUAAAAGCAAUAAUGACAAAUAAUGACACUACUACAACAAUUUCUUUGUCAGAUAUUUUUGUUCGUUCCAGAGCGAGGGGGUAAUCGGAAUGACUGUCAUGGAGUUCGUUUGGGUAUUCCAGAUCUACCUCUAGUACGUUCCCCAAGUCUCCGUCUUUGGUGACUUUGGUUAUGUCAAAUGUUUGUGGGUUCUCAACCCAUUGAAACCCUCCCACGGGUAACGAUUUCGACAUGGCCUUCCCGUACAAGUUAUUCCAAUCCGUAUACAUGAUGUAUGAGUGUGGUUGGAAGAGGUCGUACGUUUCUGGAAUGUAAGGAUUGUUAGAUUGAGCGUAUUUGUUAGAGAUCAUACUACAUGAAACACAACUUCGUACCCCGUUUUCGAAGAAGAGAUACAUGUCUGGAUCUCUAACCUCACUUCCGUCAUUUCAGGCUGCACUCCAAGCCAGACCUGAACUGGUAUAGAAGUGAGCUGCAUCUAACCCGUAAUAUUCCAGGCACAUGUUUCUGAAGUUUUCGACAUUGGCCAAUAGUAGCACGUCCGUCUUGAGAUAGAGAUCGUGAUACUGACCAAGGUCUAAAAUGUUCAGUUUCUUCCAUACGUUCUUUGCAUGUGUGUAAACGGCAUCUGACACGUGUGAUCGACUCAACGAACUAUAUAAUUUCUCUUUUGGAGGGAGAUUUUGUUCGGAAUACCGAUCGGGGUUGUCCACGUACUCGUAGGGAUAUACACCUUUUCUGAGAAGCAAUUUGGCUUCUGAUUCAGAAAAUUAUCUGGAGAAGUUAUUAAAUUUCACUAAACCCUCUUUGGCAAGAUUUUCAGUCAGAGUCUCUAGGCUCUGAGACAUAAACUGAAACGAAUCUAUGAAUCUAAUGUCACCCAGACUAAACGUACAUGGGAUAAACGGUUUUAUCCUCGACACCAAACACGUUUACUGCUAUAUCGUUCUGUCUUUCAAAUUUGUCGACUUGAGAGAUGGAGCAAGAUACUUGAUACCUGUCAUAUAUAAUUCGCAUUCGUACGAGAAGAAAAACGCGUUCGGGUAAGGUAUUGACCGGAUGGAGAGACGUCCAAAACGACCAUAAGAAGAACUUUUCGUCACGAUUGAGGAUAUUGAUCAAAUAGUGUGUACGAAAAGUCGAUGGAGUCGGUAUGUAAGAGGAACCAUGCAGAGGUGAGUAAUUUGCAACGUGUAUUUCCAGCUAGAUGAUUUUCUUGAGUACCCAUGCAGACCCUUGUCCCUCCAGUGAGGCAAACAUUUUCUAAUAAGCGUCAUUGAUAUCAUGUUCUAGACCCGAUUCAUUUGGCAUCAAUAUGUAUGUUUUAGAAAGAAAUGUGGUGUGGUCUGCACUACAUUACUUUCUCGAUCUUCCUUUUCCAAUGAUGUACGAAUGUUUAAAUACCAUUUGAUCCCAUUCAAACUCUCACACAGAUUUUGUACAUUUUCCAUCACUUCCGUUUUCGAAUUAGUAAAACAUGUCAGUAUGUCAGUACUGUCCUCGAAAUUCGGAAAAAUGUUUGUGACAUUAGCAUUCCCUCCCAAACUCACUUCGUCCGAAAAAGUAUGUCCUUCUUGCACAGAUGAUCCCAACACUGGCGACUGAACACCGGAAGGUCCCGGCAGCGGCGACUGCACACCGGAGGGUCCCGGCAGCGGCGACUGAACACCGGAAGGUCCCGGCAGCGGUGACUGAACACCGGAAGGUCCUUGCAGCGACGACUGAACACCGGAAGGCCCCGGCAGCGGCGACUGAACACCUGAAGGUUCCGGCAGCGGCGACUGAUCUCGCAUUGGUGGUGGUGUCCUUAAGGGUUCAGGUAAAUACAAUACCGUGUCCUCUCCAGGUAAGAUCCUGGUGCGGAGUGGUGGUACUUCGGAGCGUAAGUCGAUGAUAAUUACGUCGAAGGUGAGACAUCGAUUA